CAGCUCAUUCAAAUUAGACUGAAAAGCAUUAUGGAUCGGCCAUGCAAUGUAUGCUUCCAGCAGAAUGAACAGCCAACAACUAUGGUUUGCAUGCCCUGCCGAAGGACCCUAUUGCACAGCCAACAACUAGGGUUUGCAUGCCCUGGCGAAGGACCCUAUUGCACAGCCAACAACUAUGGUCUGCCCUGCCGAAGGACCCUAUCAUGCAGAACAGGUGGAUGGAGUUCGUGGUUCCCAGUCGUGACAAAGUGUACAGUUGGGUGCCAGACUGAUCCCCUGGGUAUGAACGGAUGCCGGGACCUACCAGAAGGAGCAAAGGUGGGUAUCAUAACCAUAGUUUCACUUCAGAAGUUGCUGUAAUUGAAUGAACAUACAUUUUUGACCCAUUAAUUACGCGUGGUUACAGGGUUGAAACAGAAACAACUCAAAGGGUUAAGUUUAGGUAUUCAUUUAGAGUGAUUAGGGUUAUGGUUUGGGGAAGGCUUAAAACAAAAUAGUUAAAAACAAUCGCUGUUUCCAUUAAGUAUCAUCAAGUACUCUCCUUGCUUGCUAGGGAAUUGUGAACUGCCGUGGCACGGUGGUCUAAGCAGUGCUCUCUGGCUCUAAACCUUGUGAGGGGGGGGGUGAGCACCGACAAAUGCAUAUAUUGAUGUCCUCAGGACCUUUUCAAACGUCCAAAAUCGAUGGCUCUUUCUUGUGACUAGCCUGAUCAUAACAUGUCCAGCAAUGUGAUUGCAAUUCUUUAGCGACCUCAUAAGAUUGCCUGCUGCAGUUGUUAGAGCGAUGUCCAGUUUGCAGCAGAACAUGCAGCAUAGACAAGACCAGCAAGGGAGCCCUCAUCAGCAUCAUGCAGACAGGCCCUCGCUGUGAGCAUUCCUAUGAAUGGAACAGUCAGCCACAUGUUGGCAAGUAUCUGACCAGCAACCUGCACCUGUCAGCGGCAAAAACUUUCACAGGCUCAUCAUUUGUACAAAUACAGAAGGUAACCCACUUCAUUACUUUGAUACAUUUGAUAACCCAAUUGUGAAACAUAAUUUAUGUAAACUGACAUUAUUUGUUGCUUAUUUUCUAUUUCUUAGAUGCAUAUAAUAUCCAGGGCAUUUUAUGAUACCUGAAGUGAAAUAGAAAGGUGAACGCAGUGAUCAGGUUGGUUCCUCCAGGCUAAUCAUUUAUAAUGUAAUCAGUGCUCUGUGUGUGUGCGUGUGCGUGCAACCGACCAGUAUCUUUGAUGAGGGGCCAGGAGCUGAUCUACGCUGCUAUGGCCAUCAAUGUGGCUCGGGCAAAGACCUCACCUCCAGCCUCACCUCUUGCCUGCUCACCAACUGUCGUCGAUGGGGAGACCAGAAUUGGAAACAUGUAUGGAGCCAGCACAUGGAGUCUUGCAAUAUGAUGUGAUGAAGUCCAGACUGACAGUCGAGCUUGAUACUGAUGUCUAUGAAU